rnacentral:rRNA from 1 species
UACGUAGGGGGCGAGCGUUGUCCGGAGUUACUGGGCGUAAAGGGCAUGCAGGCGGUCGGACGCGUUUUGUGUGACAGCGGAUGGCUUACCUAUCCGAGCAUACGAAAGACGGUUGGACUUGAGGACUCGAGAGGGACACGGAAUUCCGGGUGGAGUGGUGAAAUGCGUAGAGAUCCGGAGGAACACCGAAGGCGAAGGCAGUGUCCUGGGCCUGCACUGACGCUCAUGCACGAAAGCGUGGGGAGCAAACAGG